rnacentral:rRNA from 1 species
AGAUGAGUUGUUUGAUGGGACUUGUAGACAUUUGCUUGUGUACACGUUUGAAGUGCGUCUGUGUCCUUGUAGACUGGUUGGAGACCAUAAGAUGAGUUGUUUGUUGGGACUUGUUGUGUACACGUUUGAAGUGUGUCUGUGUCCUUGUAGAGUCAGCUGUGAGUCUGCACUUGCUUCUGUGGUGUUUGCGUCCUUCUAGACUGGUUGGAGACCAUCAGAUUGUUGUUUGUUGUGACUUUGUUUCAAACCGGUGGAUUGUUUCGUUGUGACGGCCCCGGACUUGUCCCGGAGGGUGUUCUAGAGUCAGCUGUAAGUCAGCGCUUGCUUCUGUGGUGCUGUCUGUUUCUUCUGACCAGUUGGAGACCAUCAGAUUGUUGUUUGUUGUGACUUUGUUUCAAACCGGUGGAUUGUUUCGUUGUGACGGUCCCGGACUUGUCCCGGAGGGUGUUCUAGAGUCAGCUGUGAGUCUGCGCUUGCUUCUGUGGUGCUGUCUGUUUCUUCCGACCGGUUGGAUACCAUCAGAGAUGAUCUUUAUUGUGACUUAGUGUUUCAUCCUGAUGCAUUGUUUCCUUGUGGCGGCCCCGGACUUGUCUCGGUGGGUGUUCUAGAGUAAAGUCUGAUGUGCAGUCUGUUUCCCACUGGUUGGAGACCAUCAGAUCGUUGUUUGUUGGGACUAGACGUUGCCUUGUGUUCUAGUGGGGUUGGUAGUAUACUUCUGACCUGCUGUCUGUUUACCUCUAGACUGGUUGGAGACCAUCAGAUGAGUUGUUUGUUGGGACUAGUGUUCGAGUCGACUAGUAAACGUCCGAGGUGAGUCUGACCGGUUGGAGACCAUCAGAGAUGAUCUUUAUUGUGACUUUGUGUUUCAACCGAUGCAUUGUUUCUUUGUGGCGGUCCCGGACUUGUCCCGGUGCAGUCUGUUUCUCACUGGUUGGAGACCAUCAGCUACCUGUUCCAUCUUGAUCCACAGAAUGCGCAAUAUUCAUCUCACAGGACUGAAAACAAGUCCAUUCGAUUUAUCUCGGUCGAUAACCCCCAGUUGCCAUCAUUCCAGUACAUUAUUCAUUGAUAGUAACAUCCGCCACUUUCCAGUUAUCGUAUCUCACAUCACCAAGUCGU